AGUCGAGCGUCACUCUUUAGAGUGAGCGGCAAACGGUGAGUAACGCGUGGGAAUCUACCCAUCUCUACGGAAUAACACAGAGAAAUUUGUGCUAAUACCGUAUACGUCCUAUAGGAGAAAGAUUUAUCGGAAGAUGGAUGAGCCCGCGUUGGAUUAGCUAGUUGGUGAGGUAACGGCUCACCAAGGCGACGAUCCAUAGCUGGUCUGAGAGGAUGAUCAGCCACACUGGGACUGAGACACGGCCCAG
rnacentral:rRNA from 1 species